rnacentral:rRNA from 1 species
UACUAAACAGCUAGCUUAAAUAACUAAUCUCAAC